UACGUAGGGGGCAAGCGUUGUCCGGAAUCAUUGGGCGUAAAGAGCGUGUAGGCGGCUCGAUAAGUCCGCUGUGAAAGUCCAGGGCUCAACCCUGGAAGGCCGGCGGAAGCUGUCGGGCUAGAGUCCGGAAGAGGCGAGUGGAAUUCCCGGUGUAGCGGUGAAAUGCGCAGAUAUCGGGAGGAACACCAAUGGCGAAGGCAGCUCGCUGGGACGGUACUGACGCUGAGACGCGAAAGCGUGGGGAGCAAACAGG
rnacentral:rRNA from 1 species